UUUAUUAGGGGGGAAAAUGCAUUCCGCAUACCACCCGGGUGCGGGGGUGACCCGAGUGGUUACGUGGGACUCCCGUCUAGGCUAAUGAGGCCCACGGUAUACCCACUAAAAACCCCCCAUAUGCCGCCUCGCCGCCCUAUUGGUGGGGUUACAGGAACGCUUUCGUACUCAUCCGCGACCCCACCGGCGGCAGCCGCCCACGAGCGAUGGUUCGACGCGCCUUCCUCCUGGGCCUCCGUUCUGCACUGUAGCGGACCCCCCCAAGCCCGCCACAAGGAAGCUACGGGUGCCAGAAAGUUCUCCGGCGCCCGGCGACAGAUCAGGUCUAUGGUUCUGUCGCAAAACCACAAUUCGGCUGCAGAGGACAGGGAGAACGGCGCAUCGUAACACCGACACUCCUCUUCCUCUGCAGCCCCACCAACGCCGCUACAGCGGAACGGCCCCGCCAAGUUCGCAGAGGAUAGGGAGAACGGCUCACCGUAAUACCGACACUCCUCUUCCUCGACGGUGCACCUCCAACGCGUCACAAGCGGGCUUAACAAGCCCACUUGGAGCGACCUCCUCGGGCCAGCCCGCCCCUCAAACAGGCCGGCCCUGGUUGCCUCUUCGCUUCACCGUGGGUGACCAAGCCACGGUUACUAAGCCCCUCGACCACGACAAGGUACGCAACCCGCGGGGG